rnacentral:misc_RNA from 1 species
GUUCUCACAGUUUUCUGCAAAAGAACAAAAAUAGAUCUUAAAAAAUUCAAAACAAUAAAAAGAAUUACCCAAUAGACCUUCUAGGUGCAAGAACUAUAAAUUCCAAAUCAAUUAGGAGAAAGUGGAAUAGGAAAAUGUACCAAACAAGCUUUAAAGACCAAUCUUUAUGAGAAAAAAUUUUCUGGUUUAACCUUCAAGUUCUUUAUCAAAAACAAAAUUCUGAAUUAUUAUUAUUUUUUUCAGUAACAUUUAGAGGCAACAAGAAUCCAUCACCCUUGAGAUUUUUGAGCCAAAAUAAAAUGUCAACUUAGUGCCUAACUAAGACAAGAGAAAUUAAAGUGUAAAUUGAAAAGGAAGAAAUCUUACGAUGGGAUCUAAUGGAAUCAAAGAUAAGAUCUUGAACCAGAAGCAAAGCUAAAGCAAGAACAGCAACUCAAAAUCAAUAGAAAAAGUCCAUAUUAGACUUAAUGUAUAGUUAAGAGUUAUGGAAGAGCAUCCUAGACUCUAAGGGUUUCAAG